rfam:Deinococcus radiodurans R1 chromosome 1, complete sequence.
GGGGGUGACCCGGUUUCGACAGGGGAACUGAAGGUGAUGUUGCGUGUCGAGGUGCCGUUGGCCUCGUAAACAAACGGCAAAGCCAUUUAACUGGCAACCAGAACUACGCUCUCGCUGCUUAAGUGAGAUGACGACCGUGCAGCCCGGCCUUUGGCGUCGCGGAAGUCACUAAAAAAGAAGGCUAGCCCAGGCGAUUCUCCAUAGCCGACGGCGAAACUUUAUGGAGCUACGGCCUGCGAGAACCUGCCCACUGGUGAGCGCCGGCCCGACAAUCAAACAGUGGGAUACACACGUAGACGCACGCUGGACGGACCUUUGGACGGCGGUUCGACUCCGCCCACCUCCACCA